rnacentral:sRNA from 1 species
UAAUGACAAUAUAAAAAGAAGCCCUACUAGACAUAGGACUUCCUUGCAGAGCCGUUAAUGACGGUGACAUGUUUAGAAUGUAAAA